CCUAGGGGACUAUAGGUCUGGGGCAUGUCUCAAUAUUCCUUCUAAACUGAGAGACAAUUUGCUACACCUUGUGUGGCUCCCUUUACAAAAAAGAUCAGUCCUUUAGGAGUUGGCUGGGGGAGUGUAGCACAUUUUGACAUCCUACUCCUACUCAUUUGUGAGGGAACCCAUAAAAUUGCCAGUUUUGACUGGAUCCUAGAGCAGGAAAGGACUCUGGUGCAGGUUCAGACUGGAAACCUAGCUGCUCUGAACCUCGGGGCAUCUGAUCCAAGAGACCCAAUGUCCCUGAAAGUUUCUGUGACAUAAAGAGAUAAUAGGAUAAUCAUAGUGCAGAACCUUGGGGUUUUGGAGCAAAGGUAUGUCUUCUUCUGCAAAUAACUAACCUCCAUCUGGGAAACAGCUCCUGGCUUAUUACUGGGACCCAGUAAAGUUUGAAUACCUGACCAUGGCACACCAUGAGCGUUGUGACCUGAACUGCACAUCACAUACUGGGUGUAGUCAAGUUACCAAACCAUGACGUUGGGCACGCACAGAAGUAUCUGCCAUCCAUGGAGAAGUGGCAAGAAGGCAGAUGCGAUGGGAUCUACAGCACCUAAAACAGUGCCUGGCACACAACGGGCAGCUCAUUAGACCUUGAAUACAGCCACUGAGGUUGCUCUGUGCCAGCUCUCUCAGCCCUUUGCCUGGACUACCGGAUACAGCCUAGCGACCACACAGCAGGAUAUGUCCCCUGGACCAUGCACCCUCUGUCUCCCCUUAAGCUGGACACCUCUUACUGGCAUCCCCACCUGAAGCGCCUACUGGGAGAACCCCUUACAUCACAUCUGCCUGAGAGGAGGAAAUGCCAGAACCCUGACUAGAACACGCGUGGACCAAAUCCAGCGGGAUGGAAAGAAGGAGCUGGCACCAAGUCAGGGCCGGAGCCAGAGUCGGAGCAACUUGGCCACCUUCUGGCCCCAAGUGAGGAAAUGGCCCAAGUGCCCCUGAAGACACUGUGAGGAUGAGAGUCAUUUUAGUUGUUGAUGACAAUAUUCUACGUGAGUGACGUUGCGUCUUUUCUACUGCAUCACAUCCAGAGGUUCGUAAUGUCAGUUUGUUGCGUUAUUGGCUAAUUAUGUGAACAUCCCAGUCUCCACCAAUAAGACCCUUUUAUUUCCUUGUACACACCGUUUCCAGAGAAUCUUCCCUUAUCGACACAGAUUACACUUGGGUCGAGCUUCUCCACCUGCCCUGCGCUGCCUGUUAUGCAAAGCCCUUCCACUCGGGUGGCUCAUCCCUCAGAGCUGAUACUAUUAACCCACCUCAUGAAGUGGGAAACAGCCCUGACAAGGGAGAAUGAGCGCUCGAGUCACGGAGUCAGGAAAUGGUGGCAGCAUCCGGGAGCCCGGGCGUUCCCAGCAACCUGCACUCUGUCCCACUGCACCAAAGCUCCCCGAAGAUGGUCGAGUCAUCUGAAUGAUAUACUUCCAGUCUCAUCUGAUGAGCACCCAGUUUUCUCCAGCAAAGAAAAAUUAUUCGUAUGGCGAAACAGUUCACAUUCAGAUUACAGUACAGGACCUUAUGUUAUAAAGAGGAGGGAUCCGUAGCAUGUGAUGAAAAGUUACACUUAAAUAUCUUUAUCGGCCUUUCUGUACUCACCAGAGGAACAAAAACAAGUAAAAAUCGAAUACAGCUACUGGCAUUGACUCCUGUCAAUAUCCUCCAGUGCUGGAGGCACGGUGGAUAGAUUAACCCUUUGGAAGCCAAUCUCACACUAAACCUUCCAAGUCCUAGGAAAAAAAAUAUUCCUAGUGUGUGAGGAGAAGGGGAGCUGUGAUACCUGGAAAUUGUGAGCUUUUAGUAAAGAGGCUGAGAUUCUAGGCCAGACAUUGUUUCACUCUGAUCUGAACAAUUUACUUCCUCUUUCUUGCCUUCAGUCUCCUCCUAAUUAAAAUGAGGCAUGGUUUUCAGUCUUUUCAUCACACAGGAAGAAACAGGGAAGGAUAAAGUCCAACACUGCAGCGGCAGGACUAACAUCUUAGUGUUUACAGCACUGUGGAGAAAGCCAUCUUUCCUAGAAGCCACCAAGCAACGUACAACCACAGUGGUUUGAGCUGAGAAGGCACUCACCUUCAUCAAUAACAUCAGUUGUCAGGCAAAAAUCUUUCAAGAUAAUUCCACUUGACUUCACGUUAAUUGAAGUAAUAUAGAAAUGGAAUGGAAUUGUUGAGUCACAUGGUAGGCAUAUGCUUAAGUUUUUUUGCGGAGCACAGGCUCCGGAUGCGCAGGCUCAACGGCCAUGGCUCACGGGCCCAGCCGCUCCGCGGCAUGUGGAAUCUUCCCGGACCGGGGC